GGGCGGGGCCAAGGUGGAGUGGAACAAAAGGUGGCAUGCAGGGAGCUGAUCAGUGAGGGCAAUCAUUCCAUGUGCAGCCAAUUAGAGGGAGCAUGCGCUAAUCAACACAUCAGUGGGUGGAACAGUGGGUCUUUUCCUGUGAUGCAGUGUGUACAACUGUUGUCUUAUCACUAGAUCAACGUUUAGCUUUAUCUUUGAGCAGUCGCUCCAUUUGGUCUUCAGUGGCCACAUCCAGAGGAAGCUCUCCUUCACUGUUCACUGCCCCGACUUGAGCGUUGUGCUCUAUCAGUACUCAGGACUAUUUAAAUCAAGCUGGCAGUGAUGUGACGGUGUGGUGACGGACAACACUCACUUAACGAUCUG